CUGGCAUUUAAGAAAAGUAGUUUAGAACCAAAUGAAGGGUUUAUUCCAGCUUCUUUGUACAAGCCUCUUUUAGGCAAUAUUUUAUUUACUGCAUUUCAGUUAGUUCUGGCAAAUGGGGCUGCCAAGGUCGAAAACUGCAGGACCCCUUGCGGUACAGCUCCCCUGCUGUGGACUUCCUUCUCUCCUUCCCUGGGAGGCUGCGGGUCCCUCCCGAGCAUUCCUGGGGUGUGGUGCCCUGGCAGACCAGCUUAUGCUCCAUGUUACCGUCUUGCUCUCAGAGUGCCCUUUAUUCAAGCCACUGCUCAACAAAUGUCACCAUUGUGAAUUUGCCUGGAAUCCUUAGGAGGAGAAAAAGCCAUCUCCCUCUGGGGGGAAGGGAGGGUGGACCUUACGCCCACCUAAAAUGCUGAUCCCAGGGCAACAAGCUGGUGCUGUCAGAGGACUCUUGCUGACUGACUCACUACGGAAAAUGAGGGCAAGGCUCUGGUGCGGUGUGGCAGGGUGCCCUGUUGGUGACCACAGCAAGUUCCUCAGGCCUGUGGCGACUUCCUCUGGGAUGGAUGCUGGCCCUCAUCAUCAUCUGGGGGUAUCCCUCCUCCUUUCUAACCUGUCCCCGAUCUGUAUUCUCAGGACUGUGGUAUGUUCACUUGCUGUCCUUCCUAGUCAGCCUAGGCUGCUAUAACAAAAUACCAUAGACUGGAGGGCUUAAGCAACAAAUGUUUAUUCCUCCCAGCUCUUGAGGCAGGAAGUCCAAGAUCAAGGUGCCAGCCGAUUUGGUGUCUGAUGAGGGUCUGCUUGCUGGUUUGCAGAUGGCCACCUUCUUGCUGUGUCCGCACGUGGCAGAAGGAGUGCAUGUUCUGGUCUCUUCCUUUUCUUAUAAGGACACUAAUCCCAUCUUAGGGGCCCCACCUUCAUGACCUCAUCUAAAUCUAAUUACCUUCCUAAGACCCCACCUCUGAACAGCCGCAGAUUAGGGCUGCAACAUAUAAAUUUUAGGGGUCACAAACAUUCAAUCCGUAAUACUUGCUAUACACCACGUGCACACACGCACACACGCACACACACACACGCACACACAGACACAGUAUCCAAUGUGUCCUUCCUAUUAGAAAUUGCCAUAGCUUGGGGUGGACUGUAGAGUGUAGAAAAGCGAAGGUUACAAAAACACUAUUACUCAUUCAUAUAGAAUGCAUGAGAUUUUGGAAAGAAUUCAUUUCAUUCUGAGGUAAAUUAUACACCAACCAGGACAGUGCCUCAACCAAGGAGGGCUAGUCAUCGAUGAAGGAAAUCAAUAUGUCUGAACUAACAUCUUUGAGCAUGAUAACUAAUCCUUCUCUAUCUGUGCCCCCAUGUUCUUAGCUACCUUUUGGAAGUAAACAGUACGUAGACAUAGCUUUUUCGGUUUUCAUAUUUAUUUUUUGAUUGAUGUGAAAACCUAUUUCCAGAGUGUUUUCGAACGCUGGACCCUGAAGCAUCUUCAAGCACUGCCUGCUGCAAGUUGUAUAUAAAUAAGGACACAGUGGUACAGUGUGUAGGCCAGGCGUAAACAUUACCAAAUCUAAAGUACUAACAGUGAUUUUGGAAUUUGCAAGCUGUGGUGAUGUCAGUUAAAUCAGGCGAUUUGAACUGACGGACCAGCCAGCCAUGCGGAGAGGAGCUUAGUGGCCUGUGGAGGCUUUAGGAGAGCUGGUUGGCAGGAGGUCAUGCCAAGAGGACAGCUUCUAGCUGGAUCGCCUGGACGGAAUGUCAGCAAUGAGAAGGUGGAUAAAGUGAGAGGGUGAAAAUCAUGGCAGAAUCUAAAGGGCAUAGUAUUAAAGAUAAUAAUAAUAAUCAAUAAUAGAAGUGCUUUAACUUCUGUGUCUGCUGGAGGACAGGAAACGUGUAUGUGUUUAGUUUAACCUAAUGCUCUCCUAGCAUCCUGUGGGAUAGACGAGAUCAUCCAUUUUAAACACUAGGCAACUAAGAAGCAGGCCAAAAAUCUGCCCACGGUCAUAUAAGUAGCAGUGGAGGCAGGAAGGGUCGAAGCCUUUGAAUGGAGCCCUUUCUGAUUCCAAAUGCACGUUUCUUUUCUCUUUGUCUUGAUAAAGUUUUGCUUGCUAUUAGUUUAAUUCACAAAUGUCAUUUAGGGGCAUACCGUGUUUCAGGAGCUGCAGAGGGAGGAUAACUACCCGAUGGUGUUGUGAAGGAGCAGAUUCCUAAAGGAAUUUGGGGGUAGAAUAUCAUGUUUUAUGUUAUUCAAAUGAUGGAACAGUGUGAUUCAUAAUAGAUAAGAAGGGAGUUUGGUUUUUACCUGACUCUAAAUCCUUACUUCGAGAGUGAAAUAUUUUCACCUGGACUCCUUUCUGUCUCUUGAAAGGCGUUAUAUCCAAGGUUGGACUUAGCUCAUCUCACACCCUAAACCCCACCAACCACAGGAGCUUCCCCUUCAGAACUCCCCUGUCUAUUUAAGGCAACAUAGCAAACUAACAAGAUUGGAAACUUUCAUCAUCCUUGCCACCUCCUUACCCUUCGAUGGCUCAGAUCCCAUGUGUGUCUUGUCCGUUGCUUUCUGCACACACUCCCCUGUUAUGUUGCUGUGACUCACAUCCAAGCCAUUUUUUACCUCAUCCCAGCAGUACUGCAAUUGGCCUCCCUUCUUCCAGGCUCUGCUUACCCCCACCAGUGUGUCUGACUUUGAACCAAAACCUCUUUUUCUUAACAACUGCAUGCUUGAGACUCCCUAAAGAUCCAAAGUGAAUCACUCAUUCCCUUGUGAGAAGGUUAAGUUCCAGGAGGGUAGAGACUUUUCUCUCUUUUGUUCACUGGCCUAUCUCCAGUGCCUACAGAGAAGCCUGGCGCAUUUGUUGAAUGUAUGAAUUAGUGCAUUUGCAGUUCAUAAAGGGAGGGAGGGAAGAAAGAGGAGACUAAUAUUUACUAGUGUCUAUUAUGUUCAAGCAGUGUGCUAGUCAUUUUAAACAUGACGUCCUCUAAUCUUUAAAGGGUAUUAUGAUCCACAGCUUUUACUAACUGACUCAAAACACAUGUAUUGAAUAUUUACCAUGUUCCAGGCAUCCUGCUAGACAGCAGGGAACGUGAACAAGGCAGGUAUAAUCCAUGUGCUCUUGGGGCGUAGAGCUGAGUCCAUGUGUACGUAUGUGUGGUACAGAGAGACAAUACUUAAGUAAAGGAACAGACCAAAGAAUUAGUUAGUACAAUUACAAUUAGAAAUUUUGCUUCAGCGGAAGUUGAGGCUCACAGUUUGACAGUGGCCUUUGAAAGCUAGGCUAAGGAUGUUCCCAUCCAUCCUGAGUUCCCACUGCUCCCACCAAGACAGCAAUUUCAGUGGGGCCCUAAGUUGUUUUCUAUUCCAUGAAUACACCACAUUUCCCCCACCCUCACGUCUUUCCUCACAUUCCGUUCAUCAGGCAGGGGAACUCGUUUUCUGCACUGCCUGCAACACUUCUUAGUAUACUCAGGUAAGUUAAGAAACUUUUCAUGCCUCUGGGGAGCUCACAGCCUUGAAAAAAUUAGGAACCACAUAAAAGAGCUGUGAUACAUAGCAGAGUCUGGUGAAUGAGUGCGCUGAAGGGUUUAGAUGGAGAAAUGAUCAUGUCCAUUUGGGGGAGAUCAGAAAAUGUAUGCAGAGAAGGUGGUAUUUGAGCAAUGAGUAUGAUUUCUACAGCUUGUCCUAGAGAAACGAUGCUCAAAGUUGAUGAAACAGUAUAAGCAAAAAUUGCGUAUGUGUCCGACUUCUAGGGACAUGUAGGUAAUAGUAAGAAUCCCAGUGUGGCUGAUUAUGGAACAGUUGUAGGGGAGAAAGGGAAUGGAAAGCUAAUAUGGGAUCAUGCGUUGGAGGACUAAAUGCCAAGGAGAGGAGUUUAUAAUUAAUGUGGUGGGCAGUGGGAAUUCACUGUGAUUUUUGACUAGGAGAAAGACAUGCUUGUGGCCAUGUUUCAGGAAGAUUGUUCUGGCCUGUUGUGGAGGAUGAAUUGGGGAGACCCAUCUGAGAGCUGUUUGCAGUAGAUCAUGUGAAUGGUAAAAGCCUGAUCUUUCGGGAGUCUUAAGCAUGCAGUUAUUAAGAAAAAGAGGUUUUGAUUCAAAGUCAGACACACUGGUGGGCGUAAGCCAAGCCUGAAGUUGGAGAGGGGAGGAACAAGUCGAGGGCUCUGAGCUUCCCGGACAGACUAAGAGAAUGGAAUCCUCAGAGAUGGAAAACAGUUGUUUCUAGGUGGAAAAUUAAUCUGAGAUGAAAGAUAAUUCACUCAGAUCCAUUUACCUGGAAGUAUCGUCCCUCCUCUAGUCUAUAUAGAGCAAAACCUCAUGAAGAAGGUGGGGUAUAAACCCAAGGGGUCAUGCAGUUUUACUCCCUACAGCAUUCUAGUCUGUUCACAUAAAUUAGUAUGGAUUGCUUUAGAUUGUUCCAUAUGCGAUUUGCAGGUGUUGGUCUGGUUUUCCCCAGUUGGUGCAAAAUCAGGGGCUUUUUCAGUAUCCUCUAAAACAGUUUUGAAAAGUUCAGAGACACGGAACACUUACAUGCCCAUCAUUUUUGUGUCUCAAAAAAAAAAAUUCACAUCUGCUUCAACAAUAUUAUGGAAUUUGAGCUUAAUAUAGAUUAAAUAUACUUUUUUCAUAUCACAAAUUAUGAAAAUUUGUUCUGAAACAAUAUUGUAAUGUAUUCAUCUGUCAUCUCUAGAACUUUAGAUGAGCAUGUAUAUAAUUUAUCUUUUCAUCAAAGUCUAAGGUACUGUCUCUGACUAAGGAAAGAGAAGGUGGUGAAGAUGUAGGAGGAACAGGGAAUAUUAAUUAAUAUACUGAGGGAAAAACCUAGUGCAAAAAAAAAACCAGUUCGAGUCCAUGUUAGACAAAGACGUGAAGCUACAUUGUCAUUACUGGUUCACUAGAUCCAAAAAGCAAGACAAAAGCAGUCCAGUUAUAAAAACCAGACCUUAUUUGAAAGAGAGCUAAGUGAUACCGUCACAGUUCAGUUACUAGCCUAGUGAGACCUUAAGAAAACAAGCAGGUUUUGCCCUGUGUCCUAUAAUGUUGUUUUUACAAUUUUCAGGAUAGAGAAGAAAGUCAUGCCAGUGCCAGAAAAUUUGCCAAGUGCUUUGGCAUCCUGGGAAUUUAUUCAGCUUAUUUUGAGGAGGUCAUCAAGUUCCCAAGGGGCAGACUUUUUUUUUUUUCCAGAAGAUAUUUUGGUAAUGGGUCUAAUUAUAAUAACUUUGUUUAAUAGCAUACUUUUCUUUGAAAGAACUGAAGAAUUUUUAAAAAAUAAUACUUGGUUUCUUUAUGGUAACCUGUGAAGUUGGGAAAAGGAUAUUGAUUAUCUUAUAGCCAUAAUCUCUUUUCUUUAUAUUUGGGAAAAAUAAAGGAACUCCAUCCCACUUACCUCAAAAUUGACUAAUGAAUUGACCAAUCUUUCCAAAAGUCUGGAGAAGCUUUAGCUCUGCUGUAUCACAUUCAUUUAGCCAGUGAAAUGAUGUUCUUCAGAAUCUUGAAUAUUAAUUUUAAUUUUGACUGUAUUUGAUAAACUCAGAGUUGAAAAUAUACCCCAUCAAACUUUGGUCUUUGUGUAUAUGCUGACAAAGAUCAAGGUGAUUUGUAGGGGUUAGAGAUGGAAAUCAAAAACAUGCUGAGGGAAAAAAAGUCCAAUACAAAAGAUGUGAAACUAUGUUCUCCUAAUUACAAAAAAAAAGACAAAGUGUUAGAAAAAAAAGUGAACUUAUAAAUCAGAGUAACCCUAAAUGGAGCCAUGUGGCAAACGAAAGGACCUAUAAAAUGGCAUGGGGAUAAAACUAAGCAAGGCAAAAGGAUUAAGAAAUUUCAUUGGAAUGAGAAGUAAGUUAAGAAAGACCAUUCUGAGUUAACUGUAGCAGAAUAAAGGGAUUGGCAGCCCUCUCCGUAAUUCUGCUGCAAUGGUUCCUAAAAUAUUGAGUAAGGCUUUGUGAUUCUAAUUAGCUAAGUACUAGAAACAUGCCUUCUAAUGGGACUCAUAUGGCUAUAUGGAAUAACUGCAAAAAUAUGGGGUUUGAGCUUAAUAUAGAUUAAAUAUACUUUUCAUAUCAUAAAUUAUGAAAAACUGUUCUAAACAAGAUUGUAAUUUAUUUAUCGGUCAUCUAGAGAGCUUCGGGGGUUGGACAUGUGUGCACAGAAUAUAGUGCAGUGCUAUUUGCAUGUCCAAUCAGGGUUUUCCUUGUGCUGACUUUGGGUUGGUUUUCACAGUCCUUGAUUAGUGAACUCUAAACAAUGAUAAUGAUAACCAGGCAUAACUUUGAUGUUGUUCCUUAAAUUAGAGUGUGGCCCAGAUAGGAAAGCUAAUGGUAAUCAUGAUGAUAGCCUAUGUAUAUUGAGUGCCUGCUGUUUGCCAUGUGUUAACUUAUUUAAUCCUCACAACAACCCUACUAGACAUAUGAAGAAACUGAGGUACAGAGCAGCUAAGUAACUUGCUCAGGCUCACACAGCCAGGAAGUGGCAGACCUGGGAUUUGAACCCAGGACUUCUGGCUGUAGGUCCCACACUCCAAACUCCACUGUAGUGCGGUAUUUCCCACGCUGUGGUAUUUUUUGUACUGCUGCUGGUGACAUCCCCAGCUUUCUGGAAUUCUAACCAUGGUGUCUUGUCUAUCUCUUUGGACUUUUUUUCCCCCCUGUUCUGAUACAGCCACAAGACCCCUUAUGAUUCAGAGAAUAUGGUGCCCUUAAUGAAUCAUCAAGACGUCGAUGGGCAUUUUGGGGCUUUUCUGUGGAGAUCUCAUUUCUUAAUUCUGACUCAGCCCAUCAGAAUGAUUUGAUGGUUAUGACAUAUCAUCCCUGCAUGCAAUUAAAUGAAUAACAAUCCUUUACCCACACUUGCUAGUGGAAAAGAAAGAAACUGACCACAUUUUUGGAACACAUUGCCUCUAUAAGUAAGAGCAACUUCUCCCCGUACUUACUCUCUAUGAGUUUGAAUUUUAGAGAGAUUUGUUAACAUCUGGAAUACUAAUAUUACAUAGUCCAAGAAUAAUGAGAGAUGUAUGGUUUAGUGAACGUGUGAGUGAGUGAGUGUGGUUUAGAAAUGAGAGGUUUAGUGAGCUAUCCGACCACCAAGAUUCUUGAGGCCAAACUCAAGCAAUGUUACUGAUAACACAUAUGACCUUACUACCCAGUUUUAAACAUUUCUUGCCCAAUACUAAUCUCAUUGCCGUUUCAUCUCAGAUUUUUCCAAGAAAUGCUCCCUUGUCCCAGCUCUCUGUUAAAAAAGAGCAUUGGUAAAGUGCUUCAUAUGAGCACAAGGGCAAGAGCAACCAAUAUCACAGCCCCGUUGUAGAUAGAUGGGGAAAAGGAUGCAUGAAGACAUAACAGCCUGAUGAAAUCCCAACUCAGCAGCAGUGCUGUUACUUAAUAGAUUGGAAUAUUCUUAAGAGAAGCAGUGACCCUGUUCAGUCAAUGCAUUUUGAGUCCUCCUGGGGGCCAGGCUCUCUUCUGGGCUCUGAGGACCCAGAAUUGAAUAAAGCACCUUCCUGGCCCUCAGAGGGCCCCUAACUGACUCAUCUCUUCUCUGUUAAAUCCUUUUGUCUCUAAGUCUUGCAUAAUCAUGCUGUCACACUGAGAUCUAGUUCAGUAGUUUCAUGAUGUCCCCCUCAAGUCAGAGUGAAAUAAGAGCGACUCUUCCUCUGAAAUCCAUGGAAACGUUGAGUUUGCUGUUUUGUUCUCCUCGAUAAAAUAGAGCAUAAUAACUAGUUGCUGGGUUACUACAGAAAACUCAGGCCCCAAACGGCAGCCGGGAAGAGCAGUUAGCAAUUAAGUAAAGGAAAUGAUUAGUGGGUUUGAAACCCAACCCACUGCCCAUGUACUUCUUAGCAGAAUCAGGCAUCUAGGUUACUUAGGCAACUUUUAUCACUAAGGAAGUAGUUUUGGUGACUCAUGCUCAAACAGGAUAAUUUCUUUCCAAAUCUGUGUAUUCAGUGACCUUACCAUCAUCCUUAUGUUUUUCCUUCUCUUAGCACUGGGACAUAAAGACUACAUUUGGCUGGCUUUGGUUCAUCACUUAUUAGUGUAAUCCUUCACUGGGUGGCCCAUAGUUUGAAAUUUAAUGGACUCAUGGUGAUCAGAGUGAAAGGGCAGUAGUUCCUGCAAUAUAUUCCUAUAUUAAAGGUAGAACUAACAGCUUCUUUUCUAAGCAGAAAUGUUGUAUCUUGUAAUAACAACGUUUCUUGUCCGUUUUUAUUUAUGGAACAGUGCUGUUUAAAAUACUAGCCACACUUUUGAAAAAUAAACUAAAAUACUGAAGUAUUUUAUACCAUAACAUAAAAUGCCUUCAUUUUCCCCAAAGAGAUGCAAAAUGGAAUGAAAAUCUCCCUGAGAGCUGUCUAGAGAUGAUGAUCACAAAAAUGAAGGAAGCUGAAGAAACCUCCUUUGCCAGCUUCUCUCUUCAGAUUUUUGAUCUACCUGACGGAUGUUCCAACAGUAUCUGUUUGUGGACAGUUAACAUUUUUUUUCUGUUAAAAGAAUAGUAGAGAUGGUGUAGAAAAAAAUGAGUAAUGAAAAGUGUUAUAGGUUGAUGAUGUGUUUGGAGAAUUGUAUGCAAGAACUUACUAUUGACAGAGAAAAACAAAACCAAACCAAAUUGGAAGCCAAGUGUCUGAGAUGAUUCUGGGUUAGGACAGGAGCAGCCUGGCUUGGUCUCCAGGUUUUUCUGGUAGCCUCAGUGGUGACAGCUUUCAGUGUGGUCAGCCUCAGGAUCACGUGAGUCGUUAUUAUGUUUUUUUUCUUAACCCCAGAAACCAUGCCGUAAGUCAAAAUUUAGACAGUUUAGCUGUUUUCAUUUUGCUUUCAAUCUAGUCGUUUUCUGUUUUUAAUUUUGUGCCUGGAAAAACUUGAAAAAGGCCAUGAGUCAUGACAACUGUUUCCUUUUCCUCCAAAUAGAAGCCUUAGCAGCUGAGCGGUUUUCAGUGGGGACCCUUUAAGGGAAUGUUUGGGAGAAAUACGUAUCCGGGCGUUCUCCCAAAGUGUGGUACCCAGACCAGCAGUGGCAGCAUCCCCUGGAAAUCUGUUAGAAGUGCCCACUAUCAGGCACCACUCCAGAUGUGAUUGAAUCAGAGACUCUGGGGAAGGAAGUCUGUGUUUUAACAAGACAUCUAGAUGGUUCUGAGCAACGCUCAAGUCCGAGAACCACUGUGUUAGUGAAUUGUUAGUAUUUGUGGCUACUGAGAGUGUGAAAAAUAUAGUGGUUGGAAGGUGGGCAUGUUUAUGAGUCUUUGCUUGUGAGGAGAUGAAUCAUAGAGAGAAAAGAAUGCUUUAACUUUUGGAAUUCAAAAAAGAAAAAGAAAGCCUGGAAUCUAAUUAGCAGGACUAAUUGCUUGCAUGAAACUUUGCUCUCUCAGAGAACAGCGAUCCAGAUGACUAGGUUACUGUGAAAUAUAGUGGCAUGGUUUUGAAGUUCUAGAAGAAUCUCUCUAGUGAAGAAAGGCAUGUCUUUCCAUAUUAGGACAUAAAUUCAACUCAGUUUUGUAGAAUCCUAUAAGAUUCUUGUAUCCCAGUGACUUGGCCAGCUCAUUUACUUCUUGAGGCCCUACUUUCUACAUCUGAAAACCAUAUGCUUCGUUAGUUGCCAUGAGUUAUCUCAUUGGAAUGAAGUGAGGGAUUCAUUAUAUGGAAGAGGAUUUGUGAGGCAUCUUGAUUACUGAAAAAUGCAAACCAUAAGGGUCAAGAGUGAUUAAUAUAAAUCUUGAUGCAACUAUGAGUUGAUAUGUCAACUUCCCUUUGAUAUGUGCUCCCCCUUUUAAUUAAUUAAUUUAUUUUGGCUGCACCGGGUCUUAGUUGCGGUGUGCGGGAUCUAGUUCCCCGAUCAGGGAUCGAACCCAGGCCCCCUGCGUUGUGAGCUCGAGUCUUCCCCACUGGACCAUCAGGGAGGUCCCUGUUCUGUGCUCCCUUUAGUCUUGACUCUCAUGUAUUCAUUUUUGGUGUUAAACAAAUCACAGUUUUUAAAAGCUUUAAUCUUCAUUUCCUCAUGGAAAACAUAGUAUUCAUGAUACCUACUCACAGGAUUGUUGUGAGAAGAAAAUUAGAUUAAAAUAUGAAAAGGCAGUUUUAAAGCUCAAACAUUACAAAUUUUAGGUAUUGUUGUUUUGAUUGCGGUUAUUUCAUGUCCAGAUUGAGAAAGCUUUGUGAUUGUUGACAUAAUGAUAUCAUCCAGGAGUUUGGAAUAAGCGUGUACAUCAGCGGAUUUUAUGAUUACAAAAAAUAGCUGUGUUUGCUUUUCUACUGACUCUCCUUCAGUGGAAUGUUCCCAUUUUCUCAUGAAGUGGGGGGAGAUCCACAUAUGUUUUAUUAAAGAAAGCAAGCCUCGUAUUUUUUAUCCUUUGAACUGAGAGGCUACAUAUUAUUCAUUGUCUUCGAGUCAGGCUACCUGGGUAAAUUCCCAAUCCUCUACCUACUUGCAACCAUGGAUAAACCUCAGUUUCCUCAUAUGUAAACUAGGGGUGGUAAUAAUACAGAUUCGUAUGAAGAUGAAAUGGGAAAUGUAUGUAUAGAAUACAUAGCAGAGUGCCUGGCACAGAGUAAGCAUUCAGUAAUGUGGGCUGCUGUUGUGAUUAUCAUCAUUAAACUGUAGCAUGAAGAAGAGGAAAAAAGGUUGUGUGUGAAAGUCAAGGGCAGGAGGGAAUAAAAAGACAAGGGGAACAGCUUUGAAAAUGGUCUGAUCAUCCUGCAAAUGACAAUCCAAGCAAUUCCCACAACUUUUGAAAAUCAAAGACUUCCCUGUUGCUUCCAAUGAGAAAAUGAACCAUAGUCAUUUGUAAUGUCCACGUUCCUGUAACAAUCAAAAUCACAAUCUUGCUUGAAAGGUACAUGUCUUCCCUUUCCCAGCAUGAGCACGCAGAAGGCAAGGAGCUGUAGGAAAUGGGAGUCCUCGCCUCUCUCUCUCUCUCUCCCCCUCUCCCUCUCCCUCCUUCCCUUUCCCUCUCCUUCUCCCUCUCUCUCUCUCUCUCUCUCUCUCUCUCUGAAGUGCUCCUACUUCUUCUCUAUCUUGGUAACUGAAGUUUCUUGCUGCUCUAGGGUUAGAGCUCAUAGCAGAGAAAAGGUUGGGGAGAUAAGAAAGUUCUUACUUGACAAGGACUGUUGAUGAUCCAGUACUUAAAACUGGCCCUCUCCAUUUGGUCUGUGUUUAAAACUGGCCCUUCUUCUAGCAGGUGCUUCUUUGUUUCCCAGAGCUCCCUUGACCUGCAGAAAUGCAUUUGUAUUUGGUCAUCCACAGUCUCAAGGAGUCAUUCUGAAGUACACCCCUUGCUGCUUUUUGCUAUGGUACCUACUUUCCAGCGGAUGAUCCUGAACAGGAUCUAAGACAGCUAGCGCUAUCUUGCAUGGCUCAGAUCUGGUCCAAGGGAAAUACUUUACCUUCAAAAGCUCAGAGAGUAAUGAGGAUACAAUUUUCAAUCCCUGGGUAGCCCUUUGAAGCUCUUUGCCUUACACUUGCGGUAAGCAAACAACCCCAUAGAUCUUCUGGUCAGAUUCACACAGCAUGCUGGCAACUUGCUCCAAAAACCUUCAUCAUCAAAAAUCUCCAACUCUUUUUGCCUCUGACAUGGAUAAAUGGUUAUAAGAGUUACAUAACCUUCCUGGCAUGCUUCCUUUGAAAAUGUUGCUUUAUACCGUUGUAUUUCGCUUUGGAAUGUGGUGUCUAGUGUUCAGUACUUGAGUCAAAACUUGCACUUUAAUUCAAGGUAAAAGGGGGAGAGGAACGCUUUGGGGAUGCUUUGAUUUCACAGACCAUCACCCCAAAGUUGGUGGUGCUGCAGAGGAAAAGAUGGUUUACGCAUGCAGGUGUUGUUAUUGGGAGCCUCAUGAAUGCCCACCCUAAUCACAAAGUAAAGAUGUAAAUGUGAGUAGUGGUUUUUCCUCAUAGGCAGUUGUUUUGGUUGCGGUUGUUGUUUUUUUUGUUAAAGCAACUGACAUAGCACUUGGGACUGAUUUAUGUUAUUACUUUGGGAGAUAAAAUGUGUUUAAAAAUAGUGUUCCCAUGAAAUUAAAAAAUGGUUAACUUUCAUCAGUUGUAGGAUGAUCCUAGACUACCAUGUGUGUGAAACUUGUCUCAAGACAAGUAUAUUAUGUAUUGUGUUUAAAUGUUUUUUUUUGCAUUUCAGGUAUAACUUUUUAAAAUGUGAAAACACACAUAAAUAAAUGUGUACAGAUAUAUACAACUCUGAUCUCAUGCCAAAAAUGUGUGUGACUGCCUUGUGAUAGUUUUGGAGCGGGUGAUGUGCUCCAAAGAGAUGAAAAUACCUGGAAAGAUUCUGUGGACCAGUCAACUCUGAGCCAACUUGAGGAUAUGGGGCUUUGGGACCUCCCUGGUGACUCAGUGG